rnacentral:rRNA from 1 species
UACAGAGGUCUCAACCGUUGUUCGGAUUCAUUGGGCGUAAAGGGUGCGUAGGCGGUCGUGCAAGUCGGAUGUGAAAUCUCAGGGCUCAACCCUGAAACUGCAUUCGAUACUGCGUGGCUAGAGUGCUGGAGAGGAGACUGGAAUUUACGGUGUAGCAGUGAAAUGCGCAGAUAUCAGGAGGAACACCGGUGGCGAAGGCGGGUCUCUGGGCCGUAACUGACGCUGAGGAGCGAAAGCGUGGGGAGCGAACAGG